UGGCUAUGAGGAUAAAAUUUCUUGUAAAUGAAAUUGUAUGAUUAACUUAUACGCUAUUCUGAGCCAUUG